rnacentral:rRNA from 1 species
UACGUAGGGGGCAAGCGUUGUCCGGAUUUAUUGGGCGUAAAGAGCGUGUAGGCGGCUUUACAGGUCCGUUGUGAAAACUCGAGGCUCAACCUCGAGACGCCGGUGGAAACCGUAAGGCUAGAGUCCGGAAGAGGAGAGUGGAAUUCCUGGUGUAGCGGUGAAAUGCGCAGAUAUCAGGAGGAACACCGGUGGCGAAGGCGGAUCUCUGGGCCUUACCUGACGCUCAGGUGCGAAAGCUAGGGGAGCGAACAGG